GAUGAACGCUGGCGGCGGGCCUAAUACAUGCAAGCCGAGCGAAGAGAGGAGGAGCAUGAUACUAAGAAGCUAGCGGCGGACGGGUGAGUAACAAGUGGAUAACCUCCCUAUAAGAGUGGGAUAACUUGGGGAAACGGGAGAUAAUACCGGAUAAUAUAUAGAACCGCAUGGUAGAAAAGUGAAAGACGGGGUUGUUGAGACUUAUAGAGGGAUCGGCGCCGCAUUAGCUAGGUGGUAAGGUAACGGCUUACAAAGGCAACGAUGCGUAGGCGACCUGAGAUGGUGAUCGGCCACACUGCAACUGAAACACGAUCCAGACUCCUACCGGACGCAACAGUAGGGUAUCUUCCACUAUGGACGAAAGCCUGACCUAACCACGCCGCGUCGGUGACAAAGAUCUUCGGAUCGUAAAACUCUGUUAUUAGUGAAGAACAAAUGUGUAAGUAACUCUUCACUUCUUGACGGUACCUAAUCAAUAAGCCACGGCUAACUUCGCG
rnacentral:rRNA from 1 species